CGUUUUCAACAACCCCAAACAGAAACUCUGUACCCAUUAAACAAUAGCUCCAUAUUCCUCCCUGCCCUCAGCCCCUGGUAACCUCUAUUCUUUCUGUCUCUGUGAAUUUACCUUAUAUAAGUGGAAUCCUAUAAUAUUUGUCCUUUUGUAUCUGGCUUAUUUUACUUAGCAUAAUGUUUUCAAGGUUCACCCAUGUUAUGGUAUGUAUCAG
rnacentral:lncRNA from 10 species